rnacentral:tRNA from 1 species
GUUACUUUGGCAGAAUUAAUGCGUUAAAUUUAGAUUUUAUUUAUGUAAUUUGUUUACAGGUAACU